GAUGAACGCUGGCGGCGUGCCUAAUACAUGCAAGUCGAGCGAACAGACGAGGAGCUUGCUCCUCUGACGUUAGCGGCGGACGGGUGAGUAACACGUGGAUAACCUACCUAUAAGACUGGGAUAACUUCGGGAAACCGGAGCUAAUACCGGAUAAUAUAUUGAACCGCAUGGUUCAAUAGUGAAAGACGGUUUUGCUGUCACUUAUAGAUGGAUCCGCGCCGCAUUAGCUAGUUGGUAAGGUAACGGCUUACCAAGGCAACGAUGCGUAGCCGACCUGAGAGGGUGAUCGGCGACACUGGAACUGAGACACGGUCCAGACUCAUACGGGAGGCAGCAGUAGGGAAUCUUACGCAAUGGGCGAAAGCCUGACGGAGCAACGCCGCGUGAGUGAUGAAGGUCUUCGGAUCGUAAAACUCUGUUAUUAGGGAAGAACAAAUGUGUAAGUAACUUUGCACGUCUUGACGGUACCUAAUCAGAAAGCCACGGCUAACUACGUG
rnacentral:rRNA from 1 species